AUAUUGGACAAUGGGCGCAAGCCUGAUCCAGCCAUGCCGCGUGAGUGACGAAGGCCUUAGGGUUGUAAAGCUCUUUUAGCAGGGACGAUAAUGACGGUACCUGCAGAAUAAGCUCCGGCUAACUUCGUGCCAGCAGCCGCGGUAAUACGAAGGGAGCUAGCGUUGUUCGGAAUUACUGGGCGUAAAGCGCACGUAGGCGGAUUGCUAAGUCAGGGGUGAAAUCCCGGGGCUCAACCUCGGAACUGCCUUUGAUACUGACAAUCUCGAGUCCGAUAGAGGUGGGUGGAAUUCCUAGUGUAGAGGUGAAAUUCGUAGAUAUUAGGAAGAACACCGGUGGCGAAGGCGGCCCACUGGAUCGGUACUGACGCUGAGGUGCGAAAGCGUGGGGAGCAAACAGG
rnacentral:rRNA from 1 species